rnacentral:rRNA from 1 species
UACGAAGGGUGCAAGCGUUGUUCGGAUUUAUUGGGCGUAAAGCGCGCGCAGGCGGGUUUUUAAGUCAGAUGUGAAAUCUCGGGGCUCAACCCCGAAACUGCGUCUGAAACUGGAGACCUAGAAUGAUGGAGGGGGAAGCGGAAUUUCGCAUGUAGGGGUAAAAUCCGUAGAGAUGCGAAGGAACACCAGAGCCGAAGGGGGCUUCCUGGCCAUUCAUUGACGCUGAGGCGCGAAAGCGUGGGGAGCAAACAGG